CCUACGGGAGGCAGCAGUGGGGAAUAUUGGGCAAUGGGCGCAAGCCUGACCCAGCACUGCCGCGUGAAGGAAGAAGGCUUUCGGGUUGUAAACUUCUUUGACAGGGGAAGAGCAGAAGACGGUACCCUGAAAACAAGCCACGGCUAACUACGUGCCAGCAGCCGCGGUAAUACGUAGGUGGCAAGCGUUGUCCGGAUUUACUGGGUGUAAAGGGCGUGUAGCCGGGAAGGCAAGUCAGAUGUGAAAUCUGGAGGCUCAACCUCCAAAUUGCAUUUGAAACUGUUUUUCUUGAGUACUGGAGAGGCAGACGGAAUUCCUUGGGUAGCGGUGAAAUGCGUAGAUAUAAGGAGGAACACCAGUGGCGAAGGCGGUCUGCUGGACAGCAACUGACGGUGAGGCGCGAAAGCGUGGGGAGCAAACAGGAUUAGAUACCCCAGUAGUC
rnacentral:rRNA from 1 species